rnacentral:rRNA from 1 species
AUACGGAGGAUGCAAGCGUUAUCCGGAUUUAUUGGGUUUAAAGGGUGCGUAGGCGGUUUGCUAAGCGGGAGGUGAAAUGCCGGCGCUCAACGUCGGAAGUGCCUCCCGAACUGGUGGACUUGAAUGACUCUGCCGUGGGAGGAAUGUGUAGUGUAGCGGUGAAAUGCUUAGAGAUUACACAGAACAUCGAUUGCGAAGGCAUCUCACGAAGGGUUGAUUGACGCUGAGGCACGAAAGCGUGGGGAUCAAACAGGAUUAGAUACCCUGGUAGUCCACGCAGUAAACGAUGAUGGCUAACCGCUGGGCUUAUCAGUUCAGUGGCCAAGCGAAAGCGAUAAGCCAUCCACCUGGGGAGUACGACCGCAAGGUUGAAACUCAAAGGAAUUGACGGGG